rnacentral:rRNA from 1 species
UGGGCCCGCGGCCUAUCAGCUUGUUGGUGGGGUAACGGCCUACCAAGGCGACGACGGGUAGCCGGCCUGAGAGGGUGUCCGGCCACACUGGGACUGAGAUACGGCCCAGACUCCUACGGGAGGCAGCAGUGGGGAAUAUUGCACAAUGGGCGCAAGCCUGAUGCAGCGACGCCGCGUGGGGGAUGACGGCCUUCGGGUUGUAAACCUCUUUCACUAUCGACGAAGGUUCGGGUUUUCUCGGAUUGACGGUAGAUGGAGAAGAAGCACCGGCCAACUACGUGCCAGCAGCCGCGGUAAUACGUAGGGUGCGAGCGUUGUCCGGAAUUACUGGGCGUAAAGAGCUCGUAGGUGGUUUGUCGCGUUGUUCGUGAAAUCUCACGGCUUAACUGUGAGCGUGCGGGCGAUACGGGCAGACUAGAGUACUGCAGGGGAGAUUGGAAUUCCUGGUGUAGCGGUGGAAUGCGCAGAUAUCAGGAGGAACACCGGUGGCGAAGGCGGGUCUCUGGGCAGUAACUGACGCUGAGGAGCGAAAGCGUGGGGAGCGAACAGGAUUAGAUACCCUGGUAGUCCACGCCGUAAACGGUGGGUACUAGGUGUGGGUUUCCUUCCUUGGGAUCCGUGCCCGUAACUAACGCAUUAAGUACCCCGCCUGGGGAGUACGGCCGCAAGGCUAAAACUC